AGUGACGAAACAAAGUUUAAAGUAAGAAAAAGCAAAAUUCCGAAAAAACAGUGGGGCUAGUAGACAGACCAAGCCACUGAAGUCUUGCAGUCUAGGGGUAUUUGUAUGUCUUUAACACAUCAUCUGCAAAGAGCAAAUGUAGUGGUUAUACAUUAGCUACUGUGGAGGCAGGGACAGUCUUAAUGGAGCCUUUUCUAACUUGUUCUCCUUGAAACCUAAAUCCUAUUGCUCAUUGGCAAAUAUUUGUUACAAUAAGAUUCCAGCCUGGUUUCAUUAUGUACCUGCUGGCAAGGAAUUGCAGGAUGGAGCCCGUCUGGCCUGCUUCUAGCCCUGGGCUCCCUCUGCUUAUGGAAACCCUGGCUGCCGACAGGAGUUAGGGCGAGGACUUCUUUCAGCUGAGUAGGGACCCGCAGUCAAGACAGGAUUCCAGCAGAAGGUGUCCUUUUGAGGGGACAGCAGUGCCAGCUCACAGAAACUGUCUCCACUUGAGGUUUCAUGUGCAUGAUCAUUUAGAAUUUCAUUCUUUCAAGUCUGGAGGAAACAAAGAAGAGUAACAAAAAGAUUAAAUACACAUGGUCUAAAACAAAGAACAGAGUUCUUAUUAGAGGACCUAAAAAAGGUGUUAUGCAAACCAGGAGAAAAUUUUCUUCAUGAGAGCAAAUAGAAACUGAUGGGGGUGGGAGGGAUUGAUAAUAAUUGGGUGGGUGUUCAGUUUUGGGAAGGUAUGUGUGAGAUACAGACCUAUUGAUCUUUCCACAUAGGGUACCACAAGAGGCAUCAUAAAGGAUGUGUGAACCUCCUUGGGGAAGAAAUCCCAUUCACUCCCAUUAGCUGGCUGUCCUGGGAAGAAACCUGGCCCGAAGAAAGAAGUGAAUUAUUUCUAUUGAAAUCUACUGAGACGGUACAGAGGUAAGCAGAACCUUUGGUGAAUUUUUACAAAGUGAACAUCCGCAGUUCUCACCAGCAGCUUCGAAGCCUUUUCAGGUGCUCUGUCACUCAGCCUUCUCUCUCACAAAGUUGCAUGUUGGAGCACACAUGGACUCAAACACUGGAGAACUGCAUAGCCACAGGACAGAAACCACUACUCCCCCUGGCUGAGAUGGCUGUACACCUGAGCUUUAUUGUGUAAGAGGGAAGGGGAAUGGGGAGAAAUGAGAGAGAGCGAGCUAACAUGUUUGAGAACCAUGAGUUCUGUAGUCCUCAGAUGUUCUCUUUAGCAUGGGAAUAACAGUAUUUCAUGCUUACAAUUAAAACCUUACUCAUUUUAUGUAAAAUAUGACAUAUUUUGGAAGAUUUUAAAAAUUUAUUUAAGGGGAAGAGAGAGAAAGAAAGAAAUCUCUUA
rnacentral:lncRNA from 1 species